rnacentral:tRNA from 1 species
AGGUCCGUGGUGUAAUUGGCAGCAUGAAAGAUUCCAAACCUUUUGGCGGGGGUUCGAGUCCCUCCGGGCCUG